rnacentral:SRP_RNA from 1 species
UUAUAGUUUGUGGGCAAUGUCCGACCUCCAAAUUGUGUCAGGACCGGAAGGUAGCAGCACUAAGGUUGCUUGGGCAUGUGCCUUUUUUUGAGAAAAUAAAC